GACGAACGCUGGCGGCGUGCUAAACACAUGCAAGUCGAACGAUGAACCCGGAGCUUGCUCCGGCGGAUUAGUGGCGAACGGGUGAGUAACACGUGAGUAACCUGCCCUUGACUCUGGGAUAACUGCGGGAAACUGUAGCUAAUACCGGAUACGACCCUCGGCGGCAUCGCCAGGGGGUGGAAAGAAUUUCGGUCAAGGAUGGACUCGCGGCCUAUCAGCUAGUUGGUGAGGUAACGGCUCACCAAGGCGACGACGGGUAGCCGGCCUGAGAGGGUGACCGGCCACACUGGGACUGAGACACGGCCCAGACUCCUACGGGAGGCAGCAGUGGGGAGUAUUGCACAAUGGGCGCAAGCCUGAUGCAGCAACGCCGCGUGAGGGAUGACGGCCUUCGGGUUGUAAACCUCUUUUAGUAGGGAAGAAGCGAAAGUGACGGUACCUGCAGAAAAAGCACCGGCUAACUACGUGCCAGCCGCCGCCGUAA
rnacentral:rRNA from 1 species